CCUUUAUUUCCCUUCAACCUUGCACGGAGCCUAGCAUGAAGUAGGUGCUCUAUCCAUACCUGCUGUCUUUAUGCUGUCAAUGUGUAUAUUGAAGGCUCUCCUCUUUCCCCCAGCACCGACAUCGAAUGGUAGUUUUGGAGCCACUGAACAAACUGCUGCAGGCGAAAUGGGAUCAGUUUAUCUCCAAGUUCUUCUUCAACUUCCUGUGUUAUCUGAUCUACAUGCUCAUUUUCACUGCUGUUGCCUACCACCAGCCAGCCCUGGACCAGCAGGCCUUCUCAUGGCUGGAUUCAUCACCCGGAAUGUGGCUUCUGCUGGGCCACAUCUUCAUCCUUCUUGGGGGGAUCUACCUCCUCCUUGUCCAGGGUAGCAGAUGACUUCUCUGACUCCUUGCCAGUUUAGUCUCUGCUUCCCUGAAGAUCAAGCCGGGAAGCCUCUUGCCCUGAAUCCCUCAGCUGACCUUCAUCACUUGGGGAGCACAGAAGGCUGAUGGCAGGUGGGACUCAGCCCAACUCUUGCAGCAGAGCAUUCCCAGGUAGAAAAGUCGCAAGAUUGCAAGAGUCAGGCUGCACACCAAAAUG
rnacentral:lncRNA from 1 species